rnacentral:rRNA from 1 species
AACGAACGCUGGCGGCAUGCCUAACACAUGCAAGUCGAACGAGACCUUCGGGUCUAGUGGCGCACGGGUGCGUAACGCGUGGGAACCUGCCUUUAGGUUCGGAAUAACUCAGAGAAAUUUGAGCUAAUACCGGAUGAUGUCUUCGGACCAAAGAUUUAUCGCCUUUAGAUGGGCCCGCGUUGGAUUAGCUAGUUGGUGGGGUAAAGGCCUACCAAGGCGACGAUCCAUAGCUGGUCUGAGAGGAUGAUCAGCCACACUGGGACUGAGACACGGCCCAGACUCCUACGGGAGGCAGCAGUGGGGAAUAUUGGACAAUGGGCGAAAGCCUGAUCCAGCAAUGCCGCGUGAGUGAUGAAGGCCUUAGGGUUGUAAAGCUCUUUUACCCGAGAUGAUAAUGACAGUAUCGCGAGAAUAAGCUCCGGCUAACUCCGUG